ensembl:antisense Gm13544 predicted gene 13544
GAGGAUUGGAGAGAGGAGAAGCCAAAACAGAGGCAGACGGACAGGAAGAAGUUCCUGAUCCCAUGUGGUUUUAAAUAGCCACAGAUGUCCAGACAUCGAUGUCAGGGAGCAGUGAGGAUGAGAAUUGAGCCACCUUGGGGAGGAGGACAUACGUCCUGAACAAUCACCCUCUGAGGACUUCAGAGGAGCCUUACUCAAUGUCCCGUUGUCUGGAACCGUCUGAGCUUCAGGGUUUGGGUCAUAGAUACAUACUACUAAAGAGAAUAAAAUCCCUCUAAAGACAUAAAACUAAGGCUCUGGGGAGCAUUAGAGGGCAAGAGGUAGGCCACCACUCACUUCUCCACUCUAUUUAAUCUGGCGUUGCCGUUUACAUCAUGGGAGAAAGAGGAAGAAAAGCCUGGGAAACAGAAGGCUCACAGACCUACUGCCUUGGCAAGCCAUUAGCUUCUCUGGGUUCCAGCCUAGGAUGGAACUCAUUCUGUAGCCCUGGAUGACCUCAAAUUCACCAGCAAUCCUUCUGGCCCAGCUUCCCACAUCCGGCUUCUACUCAUGAUCACAUUAUCUUUACCAAUUACAUUUUAAUCAUCAAAAGCAAGCAUUUAUAUCAUCUGCAAUAGAUUUCUAUAUUUGCCUUGACCACCAAAACAAGAACUCCAGGUAUGCAAUCUAUUGGCAAGGAUGGAGCUACUGAGAUGAAAACACAACAGGAAUAUCAUGUGUGGUGCUGAGACUAUAAGAAAGUUGCUUUCAUCAUGACAAAAAACCUCACUUUUGUGAAGGACUUCCACUGUUCCUCUGUAUUUGGGGAUGGUAACGAACUAAAGUAAAGUCAAUACAAAGGCCAGCUUUCUCAAAGGCAAUACAGACCUUGAGUACCCACGAUCUCCAUGUGCAGGUGAGCCAGGCCACUCGCUAUUGAAAGCGCCAGCUUGACCAUUCCAGCCACAGUCACUAUGUUUCUGUUCAAAUAGUCAUAUAAGGAGCCCUGCUCGUGAUACUCUGACACAAGCCAAAGUUGCGUCCAAGUUCCAUUAUCUGUCAAGAGAACAUCAUUUGUCGUUGUAAAUGUUGAGAAAGAAAAAGAGCACUUUUUCAACUCUUGUAGGUGUGGGUACCGUGGGAGCUUCCACUGAAACAGGAAGUUGUGUAAGGUAGUCCCAACAAAUGAGUGAUCCUUCCCCUGUAUGCGUUCAUCGGUAGUUGCUGGUGACAGUUACUGCAGUGCAAGGCAACCUUCUGAGAGAGCCACUGUGGGAGAAACUUCCAAGAGGCAACUUUGGCCUCAGUAUGGCCUUGCCCAUUACUAUUAAGCUUUAAAGAAAGAUUACAGCAAUAAAUCCAAAGAAAUUUACACCAUAAUUACUACCAUAGGAGUGCUGACAUUCUAACAAUGUCCGAGAAAUUUGCCUCUAAAAAUAAGAAGUUAUGUAUUCCAAACAAAUGUAUAAAGAGCCAAGAUGUUGCUGGAGAUUCUCAGACAGCGCGCCCAUUUAAACAAAAACUAACCUGUCAUUUUUUUUUAAAGACUGUUUUAAGCAGACUAGAAGUUAGUUUAGGGUUCCAGCAGUUAGAUGUGGCUCUCUAAACAGUGUCUGUGACAGUUUGGGUGACACCCUGACCAGUCCCGAGAUUCCCGUGAAGUUUGCUUAGGGGCUACCCUGCCGGGUGCUACAUGCUCAGGAGCUGGAGGUUAUCCAAAGAUCUCAUUUCCACAACCAGGCAGUGAGAAAUCUUCAUGACUUACAAAAUCCAAUGUACUCUAAGGCUCACUAACAACCACCAUAUGUUAAACCCACCCUCAGACUCCCCACUGACACCCAUUCCUAGGCACCGUCUCUCACGACAAGGGUUUUGUCCUACCAUGGGCUAUAAGUUAAAAGUGUUACUGCUUCACAAAAUAAAUAAUUUGAGAAAGUGAUAUUAGAGACCAUGUGGGAUCUGUACAGACUGACUGACAAGUAAAGAUAUGCCUAAGACUAUCCAGUUGCGUGCAAGGAAACAAGAAUGGCCUCUUUAGGGCACUGGUAUUAAACUAGUUCAUCAAGAUGAGCUGUGGGGCUGGUUCCUGCUGCACUAAUGUCACUGCUGGGUAACCUGACCAGGAAAUAACUCAGCUCAACAUUAGCAGGGUUUUGGAAAGUGGGUCCUUAGCUGUGUAACAAAAUGCCUAGUUUUCAAAACUCUGGGAUAUAGUGUUAAGGUAUAUGUCCUUAAGAAGUUGGAAAGAAGGACUGGAGAGAUGGCUCAGCAGUUAAGGACAUUACUCUUCCACAGGAUCCAGGUUCAAUUCCUAGCAUCCACAUGGUGGCUCACAGUAAAUUGUAGCUCCAGAUCCAGAAGGUCCAGUGUCCUCUUCUGGUCUCACUGUGCACAGACACGCAUGCAAACAAACUACCCAAACACUUGAAAUUAUAUAAUAAUAAAAAAAUAAUAAUAAAAAUAAAAAUAAAAAUAGAUAGAUAGAACUCAUGAAGAACUAACUUUCUGUCUUAUCCCAGCUCUCCUUUACUCUCUCAACAAAUCCCCACUAGAAAACUAAAUUAUAAUCAAAAUAUGCAAAACUGCUAAAGAUAUCUUUUUCCAUCUAAUUAAUAAGAAAUAUUAAAAUUAUUAAUAUUUCCAUAUUAAUAUUAAUAAUGAGUAUAAAAUAUUAUCAUGUUUCUAUUAGACAAAAGUGAAGAGUUUAUUUUAAUUUUUCAGAAAAUAGUAAAUGUGUAAAAUUCACACAUAAUUUAGUUUAAACACUCUCACUUUUUUUAUGAGAAUGUAACUGUGGCUGCAUCAAAGUUCUUCAUUGUAUUAAAAUUAUUAAAGUUCCAGUUUGAAACCUG